GACGAACGCUGGCGGCGUGCCUAAUACAUGCAAGUCGAACGAACCGCGACUAAGUGCUUGCACUAAGUCAAGGUGAGUGGCGAACGGGUGAGUAACACGUGGGUAACCUACCUCAUAGUGGGGGAUAACAGUCGGAAACGACUGCUAAUACCGCAUAGGACAUAGGAUCACAUGAUCCAGUGAGGAAAGGUGGCGCAAGCUAUCGCUAAGAGAUGGACCCGCGGUGCAUUAGCUAGUUGGUAGGGUAAAGGCCUACCAAGGCGAUGAUGCAUAGCCGACCUGAUAGGGUGAUCGGCCACAUUGGGACUGAGACACGGCCCAAACUCCUACGGGAGGCAGCAGUAGGGAAUCUUCCGCAAUGGACGCAAGUCUGACGGAGCAACGCCGCGUGAGUGAAGAAGGUCUUCGGAUCGUAAAGCUCUGUUGUUAGAGAAGAACAGCGCAUAGAGUAACUGCUAUGCGUGUGACGGUAUCUAACCAGAAAGCCACGGCUAACUACGUG
rnacentral:rRNA from 1 species